rnacentral:piRNA from 1 species
AGAUUUAUGUAAUUUAUUUGGUGUCU